AUUGAACGCUGGCGGCAGGCUUAACACAUGCAAGUCGAACGGUAACAUAAAGAAGCUUGCUUCUUUGAUGACGAGUGGCGGACGGGUGAGUAAUGCUUGGGAAUCUAGCUUAUGGAGGGGGAUAACUACGGGAAACUGUAGCUAAUACCGCGUAAUAUCGAAAGAUUAAAGUGUGGGACCUUCGGGCCACAUGCCAUAGGAUGAGCCCAAGUGGGAUUAGGUAGUUGGUGAGGUAAAGGCUCACCAAGCCGACGAUCUCUAGCUGGUCUGAGAGGAUGACCAGCCACACUGGGACUGAGACACGGCCCAGACUCCUACGGGAGGCAGCAGUGGGGAAUAUUGCGCAAUGGGGGCAACCCUGACGCAGCCAUGCCGCGUGAAUGAAGAAGGCCUUCGGGUUGUAAAGUUCUUUCGGUAGCGAGGAAGGCAUUUAGUUUAAUAGACUAGGUGAUUGACGUAGCUACA
rnacentral:rRNA from 1 species